rnacentral:rRNA from 1 species
UCGAGCGAACGGACGAGAAGCUUGCUUCUCUGAUGUUAGCGGCGGACGGGUGAGUAACACGUGGAUAACCUACCUAUAAGACUGGGAUAACUUCGGGAAACCGGAGCUAAUACCGGAUAAUAUUUUGAACCGCAUGGUUCAAAAGUGAAAGACGGUCUUGCUGUCACUUAUAGAUGGAUCCGCGCUGCAUUAGCUAGUUGGUAAGGUAACGGCUUACCAAGGCAACGAUGCAUAGCCGACCUGAGAGGGUGAUCGGCCACACUGGAACUGAGACACGGUCCAGACUCCUACGGGAGGCAGCAGUAGGGAAUCUUCCGCAAUGGGCGAAAGCCUGACGGAGCAACGCCGCGUGAGUGAUGAAGGUCUUCGGAUCGUAAAACUCUGUUAUUAGGGAAGAACAUAUGUGUAAGUAACUGUGCACAUCUUGACGGUACCUAAUCAGAAAGCCACGGCUAACUACGUGCCAGCAGCCGCGGUAAUACGUAGGUGGCAAGCGUUAUCCGGAAUUAUUGGGCGUAAAGCGCGCGUAGGCGGUUUUUUAAGUCUGAUGUGAAAGCCCACGGCUCAACCGUGGAGGGUCAUUGGAAACUGGAAAACUUGAGUGCAGAAGAGGAAAGUGGAAUUCCAUGUGUAGCGGUGAAAUGCGCAGAGAUAUGGAGGAACACCAGUGGCGAAGGCGACUUUCUGGUCUGUAACUGACGCUGAUGUGCGAAAGCGUGGGGAUCAAACA